rnacentral:lncRNA from 1 species
UCUACGGACCAGCCUAUUAGAGGGGGCACGAUAACCCUAUUAUAUUCAUACCUCAGUAUGAGAGGCGCGGAUGGAUAACUCCUGAGGUUAACACUUUAGAGUUCACUUCACGCUAAACCACCACGUGAGGGUGAACUCAGCCAACGCCAAGGAACGUCUAUGUUUUCAAAAUAAAAACAUGAUUUAUGCAUACAUAACUUUUUAACAGCCUUGGUGGACUCGGUUGGGAUAGCCCUCAGCCAAGGUAUCCCUGAUAACUGAGUAUGAGAAUGAUUUUGGCAUGAGCCAAAGUUUUAAGAAAUUCAUAAGCCAUGUUGAUUACUUGAUUUAUAUGAAUUGAUUUUAUUUGGUUGAAAUGAGUUGAAAGGUGAUGAAUUACAGUAUGUUAAACUAUUUUAUCUGUCUCCAUUUACUCAGCUUUAGAUAUUUUAGAUGGUAUUUGUUUACUCACUGGGAUUAUAUAGUCUCACCACCCUCUUUUCCACCCAUUUCAGGCUCAGGAUAGUCGGUAAAUAGCUCAUUUCAUUGAGGGCUACAGUUGGACUUGCAUCCUAAAAAACUGUAGGUUUACCGCUUUUGAUACUUUUGGUCGUUCAUGAGCUCACAUGUCACUGUAAAUUAAAUUUUAUACUUUGGUUACCUGGAUUACAGUAUGUAUGAAUUUAUUUAGCUUUUACGCUAUAAAAAUUAUUUACCGGUAACUCUAUAAAUAUUGUUUUAUAAGAAAAUAUAAUAUUUUAUUGAAUAUUUUUAAUAUAUUUAAAUAGUUAUAAUUUCACUUUAAAUGAAUGUUUUAGAUAUCUAAACUUAUUUUUGAUUAUGAAAUAUGUGUUUUUCACUCGCAUACUACAUUUUUAGCUAGUUUCGAGAUUUUCAAGGAAAAAUGAUCAAAAAGCCCCUGUGAGCGAAAAAUUAUUUUUCUAUUGUUUUGAUUUGGAAAUAGUUUAUAAUCUCUUAAAAUAUGAUACUUAACAACUGUUGCUCACAGGGGAGGUGCGAAAACUGAUAUUAAAGCCUUGCGGGGUUUCGGUUGGCAUUCUGGGUAGUGAAUGUCUAUCCAAACAUCGCGACGGUUGUCACGGGCUCGAGGAGAGUACCGGGUCGUGACAAUUAAAGUGGUAUCAGAGCUUUUUGUUUUAAAGAUUAGAGCUUUUGGGUUUAAAGUUGUUUUAAAGUUGUUUUAAAUUUGUUUUAAAAUUUACAGUGUCAAUGUGGCCCUGAGUUAAGUUAGGUUAGACUAAAUAGAAUGCAUGUAUUUGCAUGUAAAGCCUGAGGUUAUUUAAAUUUGCCUUAUUCCUUCUUAUAGAUUAUCAUGCCUCCUCGACGUGAACACCCACCUCUCACUAGAUCGGUUGGGAAGGGAAGAGGUCAUUCUCAACAUCGUCAGCUAGAUCCUAUAGAGGGGGAUCAACUGCGUCUACUAUUCAGGCAGCAUCUGCUGCUGAGUAGACCAAGACUCCUCCACCACCUCUGCCACCUGCUGGUAUUCCUGUCAUGCCUCUUGAGGUAGCUCAGGCAUUGGCAGCCUUCUUUACCGCUAUUGUUGGCCAAGCUCAGGCUGGUCAAAUUCUUCCUACAGUUCCUUCAACUGUUCCUUUAGUACCACCACCCCACCUCCUGUCUCACCACCAGUGCUGGAUGUUUCUAAUUCUGAGAAGCUUAAAGAGGCUAGGCAACAUGGUUGCAUUUCUUUUAUGGGUGAGUCGGACGCAACCAUAGCUAAAGAGGUGGUGCAAAUGGCUUUAAGAGCUAAGAAGCUUGCAAAUGAAAAUAGGAGAAUGCGAGCUGAGUUAGCAAAAAGGAGAAAUUUGAGUGUAUCUUCUAGUCAGCCACCAAAAAGGGGCAAAGACUCAUCUGUUUCAGGAAGUACUACUACUGUUUCAUUAACAUUGUCCCGACCUCUAUUUUCACAAACACAACAAAGGCCUCUGAGAUUUAACAGAUCUGCGAUGACUAUUUCUGGGAAGAGUUUCGGAGGUUCUGAUAGAUGCAGAAAUUGUGGGAGAUAUCAUGUCGGGCUGUGUAGAGGGCCUGUACGAUGUUUUUAUUAUGGUCAGCCAGGUCACAUUAAGAAAGAUUGCCCACAGUUAGGAUGAGCUACGGUAGCUGCUUCAUCUCCAUCAACUCGUACGGGAUAUGCAAAUGAGAGAUUCCUCUGGAUUACAACCGAGACAGGGAUGAUUUUGACAUACCACCAAGGGUAGAUUAAAUAUGUUGAAAUUAGUGUUCUAAUAAAGUAGCUGUUUAAGUGACUGGAUGUAUAUGGGAAUCUUUUGGUAGGACAGAAGUGGACUAGCACUAUGACUAUUAAGGAAAGAUAUUUAUCUUAGUGGCAUGGUUGUUCAUCUUAAAUAAUUACUAAAGACUAAUGUUGAAAGUCAUUAAUGAUUCAAGCAAUUACAAAUCUAGCAAUGAAUAUAUUUUACAGUGUUAAGAAAUGGACACCGAUUAACGUGAUGAACUUUUGGAGUGAUAACCCUAGAUUUUGAGGAGGUAUAAAAGGUCAUUUGAAUUGAUGAUGUUUGUUGGGAAUUAUUACUUAUCAUAGUAUGUGAGUUUUUGAUAUGAUUCCGAAUGCAAAGCUAAAUAAAUAAAAUUCUGGUUUAUGGGACAAAUUGUAUUAGAGAAGAUGAUUCUCGAGCAAACACAUUGAACUAGGGGACUAUGUUAUAAUAAGCGGGUUCAGUGUGUUGUAAUUGCACAAGAUAAUGGGAGACAGUGUGGUAAGACUAACAAUCAAUCAUGGAGAUGUGAAAUUGGGAAUCUUAAUUGUAGUUAUAAUUCGAAAGGAUAUGGAAGAAAUCAAUGAGGCUCUAGAUGACAUUUUGAGCGAUUAAUGUGAUAAAGUCAAAGAUUUGUAAACUUGAGGGUGAAGGAAGUAUAAAAUGAUGCCAUAACAUUAUAGGAAGAUAAUCUAAUACAAAUAUGGUCCAUUAGAGAUAAAUGAAGGAACUUGAAAAAGAUAAAUUUUUUAUUAAUAAGGAUUGUGAGAAUAAAUGUAGUAAAAGAUGAACUAUUUUCGUGGUCUUUGUACUAGAAGUUAAUAAACUAUUGGAGUUAUAAGACAAGGAAGAUGAUGAAAAAUGGAUAAUGAAAAUAGUGGUAUACCAUAAAUAAUAAGUAAUUAUGCGUAUGAUGAUGUAUAUAUUAUGAAUUUGUUACACCAUAGGGGAAAGAUGUCCAAAGGUGGGACUUGAAAUAUGUGGAUUUUUGGAUAUGCUCUCGGAAGGAACUUCUGCAUCCUAAAUUUGAGAUAUCUUGACCUUAUAACUGCAAGGACGAGAUGUAAUAAUUAAGUGAAUUAUCCACUUUAUAAAUGUAAUUGGUUAAGAAACCUUUAUGGCUAGAAAGCACGAGCAAAUUGGGAGUGGCAUGAAAAUAAAACUCACAAGUUGAAGAAUGGUCAUUGGUUUUGAUACUAAGCUUUGUUGUUUGGAGUCUUAAGUGCAUUGGGGAGGUAUUAAGAUAAAGAUGAUGAGUGAAAUUACAAAGUUUCUUUAUUGCCUUAUAUAUUGGCAUGUAAGAGAAAGAAAAGUUAGAGAGUUUUUGAGAUGGCUACAUAAAAAUAAAUUAACAUGUGGAGUGUUAAGAUGAAUAAUAUGUUGACUGAAGUCAAAUCUUAAGAAAUAAUGAAGACAAGAGAUUAAGCCUUGUUAAAGACUAAAGAGAAAGCGAGUGAAAAGUUAGAUGAAUGUAUGAGAUAUUGAUAAGAGAUGUCAAUACCAAGUGAUGAAAGUGUGAAUAAAGAUUUCAAGAAUGAUACAGUGAAUGAGUUUAUAUAGAAUAUUGUUACGAGAAUUUACAAAUCUUUUCUUGACCUUGUUGAAAGGAAAGGAUUAGUGACAACACAAGUAAACUAGGUGACAUGCUAGAAACCCUUGGAGAUAAAUUGAAGCAUGAGUAGUAGGGCAUGCCUUUAUGGAAAUUAUAUGCUCGGAGUAUGAAAGAGCAAAUAAGUGAUUAAGUGUUUCAAGAAUGUUUAAACGCCUUUGAGAAAGAAUUAUAAGUUAUACGUGAUGAGCAUAAGAUGCAUGACUUUGAGACUUGCUAAGGAGCCAAACGGUUAAGUCACGAGUUAAGUGAUCACCUGCUGUGAGACAUAAGUUUAAGAUAGAUAUCCCCAAGGAAAUACUCAAGAGAAGUUCUGCCAUGGAUCUCAUGAAAGCAAGCACUAAGUUAUGUGAUCAUAAAAAGGAAGCCAUAAGCUGAGAGUGAUAUUUGUAUUGACAUUAAAAAGUACUUGAGGAGGACAUAGUUUCAAGUUUUACAAUUUCAAGUGCAAUCUGUAAAUUGGCUAAGGGAGAAUGAUGUUAUGUUCAUAUGAAAGAGUGGAACAAAGGAUGAUUGAAGUUGACCUUGAUAAUGAAGUCGGAUAAUGAAACUUUUCUAAUAUAUUAUGGAAAUUGGAAUUCAAAAAUGCUUGAGGCAUACAUGAUUUAAAUGAGUCUGAGUUUUAAGUGACAAAUCAAUAUCGGAAUGCAAGAAGGAUACAAGGUAAUGUAGAGGCAUGAAGGAUAAUUGAGGAAAAAGGAUGACUCUCAGGAAUUGUGGUAUUGCAUCAGAUGCAAUGAUCAAGUUAAGAUAAAUCUUUGAGGCAUCAACAGGAUUAUAAAGCAUACAUGCAUAAUAGAUUAUAAUUCAAUGGAGAUGACAUUGUGAUGCAAUGAUAUAUAGUAUAAGGAAACUUAAGCAUAUAAUUGGAAAUGAUAAGAAGAGAGUAUAAGUAUGUAAAUGAUGUGGAACUAUGCACAGGCAUGAUGAGAAUUUGUAUGAAUUAUGAAGAUUAUUCUAUUGAAUCUUGGUUAUGGAUGGGAAUGAACAAAGAGAAAUUAGUGGAAGGUAUUUGAAAACAGAGACCCGUAUACUUAAUGAGGAAUAUGGACAUUUGAAUGUGCAUGUAUACGUGUGUGUGGAGUUAGUGAUGUACCCAACUAAAAUGAAGAAUGGUUUUAGUGGUUCUAGAUUUGAACUCAAUCUAUUUGAUGAUUUGUAUAGAUAAUGUAACGAUCAAGAAUCUUAUCAGAAGUCGAUUUAUGACGACUUAAGGAAUUUUGGGGAAAUAGUUAAGGGAAUGUAAUCUAUAGUGCGAUUAAGCCAUAUGAGAUGGAUUAAUAGGAUUAAGAAGAUUGAAAUUUCCUAAAUGCAAGGUAAACAUGAAGUAUGUGGAAAUAAUUGAAGCUAUUAAUCUUCCCUAACGUUGAGGAUAUGUAUAAGAAUGAGUAUGGCAUGUUGAUGAUACUAUAAACUACACAAUAUUGUAUAAGGAUGGAAUGAAUGAAUGAAAGUCGAGAAGUUUGAUAUGGAAUGAAGUAAUAAGAUAGAGAUUGGUAUACAUAAAUAAGUAUAAAAUGCGAUCGAAAUUGGUAUGAUUGAGAUGGAGUUAUGGUUCAAGUUUAAUGAUAGUAAUAGAAGCAUGCUUGGUGUCUCGAUAUAAGAAAUCAUAAUUGUGAAGGUUACUGUUGAUCUGAUUUUAAAGGAUAAUAAAAGACAUAAGUGAAGUACUCGAGUUGAAUUGGAGGUAAAUGAGGUGAACAAAUCAAAAUUCCCUAUAAAAGGGAGGACAUAAGAAGUCGAGCAUUAGAUGAGAAAACAAUAUCCCCACCUUUUCUCUGAGUUCAGUAAAUGAAAUUUUGAGGUCAAAAUUUUAUUUUAAGGGGGGUAAUGCUAUUAAACCCAGCUCUACAAUAUGUUUAUUAUGUCAUUCCUACAUAAGAAUACAUGUUUGCUUACUUGGGUACCUUGGAAAUCGUUAAAGGACAGUAAUGUACCAAAUAGUACAAUUAAGUUGAAUUAAGCCUCACCUAGUCCAAAUAGAGAUUUUAAGAUGAAAUUGAAAAUUUUAAAACCCUAGAAGGACUUAAAGGAGUUCGAGAACCGAUUUGGAGUCAAAUUGAAAUUUUCAUGACCUAGGGGCAAAAUGGUCAUUUUACCACCCAAGGUUAAAAUUGGAAUGUUGGAAGAAGUUUUUGAUCAAGAUUGACUAUUUAAAACAUAAUUUGAGUUUGAGAAGUAAAAAUUUUUAAUUUCGACAUUUUUUCGAGCAUAAGGGCAAAAUAGUCAUUUGCCACCUCAAGGGUAAAAUUGUAAUUUUACACCACCCAACACUUGUCCAGCACAUGGAUUUUACCCAAUAUUAUCAUGGAUAAUUGAGGAAAUUUAAAUGGUGGAGAGAGAUUGCUUAAUGGGUAAGUAUGACACAUGGACCAAUGGAAUGGUGACAUGUGUCAAAUUUUCAUCCAUUUAUUACUUGGCUUAAAUAUCAACAUAAAAUCAGCCCAUUUCUCUUCAUAUGGCCGGCCAAAGCAAGAACAAAGGAAGAAAAGAAAGAACAAGAACCCUAGGGUGAAAAUUCAAGAGAAAUUUGGUGGAUUUCAAGUAAUCAAGCAAUCAAAGGUAAAAUUUCUUGAUUUUGACUUGUGAUCUACCUUUCCCAUGCAUUCUUUUGCAUUUUCCAUGGUUGAAUCACAUGAUUUCAUGAUGGGUAUCUUGCUGGCUGAACACUUAGAGAAAGGUUUUGAUGCUUGAUUUGGUUAGAUUGCAAUGUAUUUUAGUGUUUUUAGUUGAUUGGUGAUGUGUAGCAUGAAAAUCAAGUAAGAAAAAUUCAUGUUCUUCCAUCACCCAUCAUUGGCCGAAUUCUCCAUAUGGAAUAUUGAGGAUGAUUUUGAUUUUAUUUCAAGCGAUUUGGUUAGGAAUUAGUGAUUUAUGGUGUGAGAAUCAAGUAGGAAAAAUUAUAGUGUUGAUGCACCCACCAUGGCUGAAUUUUACAAGAGAAAAUGUGAGGAUGAUUUUGCCAUAUUUCAAGUUAUUUAAUUUGUGUUUGAUGAUUUGGAGUAUUGGGAGAAAAAUGGAAUUAUUUAGAGUUGAAUUGGACAUUUUGUCCAAUUACUCAGGUGAUAGAUCGAAUUAGGCCAAUACCGUUUUAUUUAGGGACAUAAUUGAAUUUAUAUUGAACACUGUAUUUAAAUAGUUACCCGAGUAUUUCACAUCCUAUUUCAUGCAUUAGUAUAAAGCCUGAAUUGGUUUUAUGACAAUUUAGCACAAAUGUAGUAAAUGGCUUAUUGUGCAUUAUGUCUAGGUGGUGAGCAUUCUGGCAAAACUAAAAAGAUAGUACCCGAGGAUCAAGAAUCAGAGUACUCGGAACUCAAUUUCCAUUACAGUGAGUAACCUUACUAUCAUCUUAAUUAUCUAAAGUGGUUUUUAUUCGAUUCUGUGAUUUUAUGAAAAAUGAGUUUAAAUGGUAAAUCUUUAUGUUUUAUAAGCAAAAUGUGAUUAAAUGAAAAUAAUUUUAUAAAAUUGUCUUGAAAUUGAAAGAUGGUUUUGAAAAUGGAGUAAUUGGAGACUAAUUGUUGUGUUAUAAAUCAUGGUUUGAAUUGAAUGGCUUAUGAUAAUAUUGGCAUCAAUGGUUGAAUUGGUAUUUGUGUUGAAAAUGUAUAAACUGUUGUUUGCCUUGAUAGAAUGGAUAAUGAUAAAAUUGCCAUGUCAUGCUGUUAAAUUUUAUUGAAUUUGUGGGUUAUUGAUUAGUCGCUGCAGUGGACGGGUUCCAUGGACUAGCCUAUUAGAGAAGGCACGGUAACCUUAUUAUAUUCAUACCUCAGUAUGAGAGGCGUGGAUGGAUAACUCCUGAGGUUAACACUUUAGAGUUCACUUCACGCUAAACCACCACGUGAGGGUGAACUCAGCCAACGCCAAGGAACGGCUAUAUUUUCAAAAUAAAAACAUGAUUUAUGCGUACAUAACUUUUUAACAGCCUUGGCGGACUCGGUUGGAAUAGCCUUCGUCCAAGGUAUCCUUGAUAAUUGAGUAUGAGAAUGAUUUUAGCACGAGCCAAAGUUUUAAGAAAUUCAUAAGCCAUGUUGAUUACUCGAUUUAUAUGAAUUGAUUUUAUUUGGUUGAAAUGAGUUGAAAGGUGAUGAAUUACAGUAUGUUAAACUAUUUUAUCUGUCUCCAUUUACUCAGUUUUAGA